UAAAACCUUACAAAAAUACACUUCCAUGGGAUCUUGGCACACACUGAGCUGUCACUUAGCAGCUUCAACUAAGUUCUUGGAUUUAUUCAAAACCAAAACACAAGAGUUAAACUUGAUGGUUGGGAUAACAGGCCAAAUGCAGACUAAACCUGAUGAAAAUAUUGGCACUGAGGCCUGAGUUCAGAAGAAUGCUGGGACACGAGUUUAAGUCUUAGUGACUUACGUAAAGCUCAGAACUCUGUUUCAGAGGGAACAGGAGCAGAAAGACAGCAGGUAGCCAGCAGCAGAGAGUCAGAGCUCUCACUUGUCACUGUCAGUGCCUGCUGAGCAGUAAAAAUGCAGGUCUGCAAAAAGCCAGCAACAGCUUCAAGGAGGCAAACUCUUCCUAAGGGCUGCAAAACUUUAGAAUUAGACACAACCAUGAAAGAGUCAAAUGCUAAUAUUUUCCUUUUGAAACUCAGGUCCCAACGUUGAACUACUGAGAGAGGUUGCAAUCUAAUCAUCACUUAAAAAAACCUCACCCAGCCUUUUAAGACCUGUCUUAGGAUAAUCACUGUAUCUUUACUCAAGCAAAAAAAAAGCAAGAAAGCAAUUCUGAAAAAUAAAUGUAGCAUCAUCAUUAUUUACUUUAUCAAUUUUGUCAUUUUUGUAUUCUGUAAGGCAGUUUUCUUGAUGUGGGUCAUUAUAAUUCUUCUAGAAAUCAUGAAAUUCCCCUGAUGUUGCUGUAUUUUUAGCAAAGAAUAAUAAAUAACUGAUCAGAUGAAAUAUAGUGCUACAUAAUUGGCAAAUGGAGAACAUUUUGCAGAAAUCACUCAAACUAUUUUGAAUUUCAUUUCUAGUCAUGGUUUAUUUAACACUAGCAGAGUGCUCAAAGAGUUUCACAAAAGAUUGAUGAUCCUCUAGUGCAAUUCCUAAGUGUAAUAUUAUGUCUUAAAGAAUUAUGUCACUUUCUCUAAGGGUGCUGAGAAAGAUAUUACUAUGCAUCAAUAAAAAUUCAAGUUUUACCAAC